GUUGGUGAAAAGUUGUGAGCGGCGCGGGAGGAAGUGCGAACGGGACGGGAGCUGGGGCUGCGCCGCGGGCGGCGACGGAGGGCUCGGUGACCCCGGGAGGCCCCGGCCGCCGAGGAGCCGAGGACCUGCCUGCGGGGGAGCAGGGCCCUGCUGGGAGGUGCGCUCCGCCCCGAGCCGCGCACGCCUUGCCCUGCGCCGGCACCGGGGUCCGCGCCCGCGCCCCGGCCAUGCGGAUCCGGGUGGCCGCGAGGUGGACCUGGGCAGGCAAGAGCUGCCUGCUGCUGGCGCUCCUGACCGUGGCCUACGUGCUGGUGGAACUCUCGGUCUCCACGCUCCAUGCCGCCCCGGGAGCGGGCCUGGCCUGGGAGCGGGGGCCGAGGCAGCUCCCGGACCCCGGGGCCGGGGCAGAAGAUCUGUCCCGGCCGCUGUACGAGAAGCCGCCCGCAGACCCCCAGGCCCCGGGGGAGUGGGGCAAAGCCAGCCACCUCCAGCUGAGCGAGGCCGAGCGGAAGCAGCAGGAGGAACUCAUUGAGAGAUAUGCCAUCAACAUCUACCUCAGCGACAGGAUCUCCCUGCACCGCCACAUCGAGGACAAGAGGAUGCCCGAGUGCAGGUCCAAGGCGUUCCGCUACCGGCGGCUGCCCACCACCUCCGUGAUCAUCGCCUUCUACAACGAGGCCUGGUCCACGCUGCUCCGCACCAUCCACAGCGUGUUGGAGACCUCCCCCGCGGUCCUGCUGAAGGAGGUCAUCUUGGUGGAUGACCUGAGCGACCGCGUCUAUUUGAAGGCGCAGCUCGAAACGUACAUCAGCAACCUGGAGAGAGUCCGCCUGAUCCGGACCAACAAGCGGGAGGGCUUGGUCCGGGCCCGCCUGAUCGGGGCCACGUUUGCCACGGGGGACGUGCUCACCUUCCUGGACUGCCACUGUGAGUGUAACUCGGGUUGGUUGGAACCCCUUUUGGAAAGGAUCGGCGAGGACGAAACGGCCGUGGUUUGUCCCGUGAUAGACACCAUUGAUUGGAAUACUUUCGAAUUCUAUAUGCAGACCGGGGAGCCCAUGAUUGGUGGGUUUGACUGGCGUCUGACGUUCCAGUGGCACUCUGUCCCCAAACAUGAGCGGGACAGGUGGAAAUCGAGAAUCGAGCCCAUCAGGUCGCCCACCAUGGCCGGGGGACUGUUUGCUGUCAGCAAGAAAUAUUUUGAGUACCUUGGAACGUAUGACACUGGGAUGGAAGUGUGGGGAGGUGAAAACCUGGAGCUGUCUUUCCGGGUGUGGCAGUGCGGAGGGAAACUGGAGAUCCACCCGUGUUCCCACGUGGGCCACGUGUUCCCUAAGCGGGCUCCCUAUGCGCGGCCCAAUUUCCUACAGAACACUGCUCGGGCGGCGGAGGUGUGGAUGGAUGAGUACAAGGAGCAUUUCUACAAUCGAAACCCUCCGGCCAGGAAAGAAGCUUACGGAGAUAUUUCUGAAAGAAAGCUACUACGAGAACGGCUGAAGUGCAAGAGCUUUGACUGGUAUUUGAAAAACGUGUUUUCGAACUUACACGUUCCAGAGGAUAGGCCAGGCUGGCACGGAGCUGUUCGCAGUAUGGGGAUCUCCUCUGAAUGUUUAGAUUAUAAUGCUCCUGACAACAACCCCACAGGUGCUAACCUUUCACUGUUUGGAUGCCAUGGUCAAGGGGGCAAUCAGUUCUUUGAAUACACUUCAAACAAAGAAAUCAGGUUUAAUUCUGUGACAGAGUUAUGUGCAGAGGUUCCUGAGCAAAAAAAUCACGUAGGGAUGCAAAAUUGUCCAAAAGAUGGGUUCCCUGUGCCAGCAAACAUUAUUUGGCAUUUUAAAGAAGAUGGAACCAUUUUUCAUCCACACUCAGGACUCUGUCUUAGUGCUUAUCGGACACCUGAGGGCCGACCUGAUGUGCAGAUGAGAACUUGUGAUGCUCUGGAUAAAAAUCAAAUCUGGAAGUUUGAGUACUAAAAGAGCACAGCAACACUUUGGUCCUGAGCUGACGGUAUAUUCAGGAAAGUCAAAGAGCCUCAAUGGAGAUUAUAUUUUAUCAGAAAUCACCCAGUGAUCAUAGUCUAUGAGAGGGCUGUAUAACCUGCGGUUCAUCUUGGCAUAGAACACAAACUGAUGCGCAGAGAGCUGCUGUUUCACGUUUGAAAGUGCCUUACUUAGAGGUUGUUUUAUUUCAGAGCUCUGUCAGUAUGGUUUCUUCUCCUUAAAGAAGUUGACUGUGAAUUGAGAUAUACAAAACAUUUAGGUGCCAGAUGAUAUUACAGACUGUAAAAAUCCCAAGUAAAAUAAGAGAUGAUUUUUGUGGAUGGGUAAUGUUUUUGAGCAACGUUCAGUCCAGUUAUGAAGCUGGGAAAAGAAAUGGUUUUAUGUGAGCUGAGCUCACCUGCUGCAGUGGUUUAUUUUUGGAUUGAGUGGAAAGUUGUUGUAUUCAUUUCAUUUUGACAAUUGUUGAACCAAUUUUUGUUUUUGUCUUUAAUCUUUCAAACUGUAAGUAAUCUUUUGGGGCAAAGAUGUAAAUAUUUCCCAAACUAAAUAAUUGGAGAAGUAAACAUACUUGAACAAAAGUAUUUUUUACUGGUUUUAUUGCAAUGUUAUAUCUAGAAAUCUAAAUUUAGAAUUAAAUCUCAAUUAGUUCACUUUGGCCUAGAUUUUUGAAAAAUACAUGCUUGAUAAAGAAUUAAUCUACAGGCCUUAUAUGAAAAGUUGUUUUCAGUGUCUACUUAAUGACCUAGCAACUUUGCAAAAUCUGAAUUUAAGAAAAAAUUUUAGGAUAGUUUUUUCAAAAAGUAAAAUUGCUCGGUGUCUUGAAUUUUUUUUUUUUUAUUUUGCUUCUUAAAAUGAAAAUGUGUUAUUAACUUUCUGUAAGUUAUCUGGCAACCUUAAAGUUUACCAGAUCCCAUGUGCAAUUGUGCAUGGCCCUGGGUAUAAUUUAAAGAGGACUUAUCAUAGUGCUCUGAAUUUUACAAAAGGGUUGACUGACAACAGAUAUUCUCCUAAACCCACCCUCUCCCCAUGCUCAGUCUGCUUUUUUUAAUUAUUAAGUUAGCUUUUCUUUUUUAAUUUAUUUUUAUUAUUAUUCUUAGCCCCCUAUCAAAUGGGAGAACUAAAAUUGAUAUAUUCUGGAAGUACGUACUGGAAUUAUUUUUAUUCUAGUAUCUUGCUGCUCAUGUCAAGAGGGAAAAGGAGCAUUGAAAAGUAGAGUAGUACUUAAUUCUUAUUUACUUUUGGUCUAAAUUUAGGGCUUUUUGGAAGAAAUUUUAGGCUAGUGCUUUAUUUACAUCAAUAAUUUGGAAGAGUUAGGUUGUUCAUUCCUUACAAUCCUGUACAUAACUGAAGAAUGAGAUUUUCAGUUUCGAUGCAUAGGCAUUUCCAAUUUAAUUAAAAAAACACACUAUAAAACUGCAAACAAAAUAUAUUUGGAUGCCCUACUUCUAAUUUAUUGGUACCAAAGCUCUCUUUUGUUGGGGGCAAUUAAGAGUUGACCUUUUAAGUUAAUUUACAUGCUUAACAAUAACGUUAGUAAAAUAUUUGCUAAACAAGUUUCAACUUUAAAUGGCCAGUCACUAUGUCAUUUAGUAUAUGAGUCUCUGAAUAGUUAGACCAUCUAACUAGGCAAUUUUAUAAGUCAUUAAAAAAAAAAAAGAUAAGCUAGUCAUAUGCAGGACCUCUAUAACUCAAAGUAACUUGUUAAUAAAAGAAAAUUUGUAUUCAUUAUAUGUUGGAAAAUCAAGCAUUUCUAGAUUGAAGACAAGGUUAUUUUUAAGUUGUGUAGUCAUAGUUGAUUUAGGAUCUCAAUUUGAAUUGAUAGAACAGUUCUCACUUGUUUGUCUUUUUGAGUUCCUGUUUUAAGAAUAUUUUUAAAUGAGCACAAAGAAUGUUGAGAUUCAGCCAGGCAUGGUUGAGCAUCGACCUAUGAACCAGGAAGUCCCGGUUCAUUUCCCAGUAAGGGCACAUGCCCAGAUUUCGGGCUCAGUCCCCAGUGGGUGCAUGUAGGAGGCAGCUGAUCAAUGAUUCUCUAUCAUUUAUGUUUCUAUCUCUCUCUCCCUCUCCCUUCCUCUCUGAAAUCAAUAAAAGUAUAUUUUUUAAAAAAGAAUGUUGAAGUUCAGAUUAAUCUGUUUUGAGUGAUGAAUUUUUUUCUGUGUGAUGAGCAGUUUUCAUCCUUUUUUUCCCCUUUGUUAAUGUAUUUGCAAUAUUGAUUAAGACAAAAUAAAAUGUGUGCCUAAUUAUUUUUGCAAAUGGAUUUUGAUUGUUAUUUUAGUCUAUGGGAUCACUGUACCUGUAUACACGUUUGUUGGUGGUGCAGAAGUAAGUUAAGCUUGUAAUUCUUUAACUUAAUUGGGAAUGCAGACAGUAGACUAUAAAAAAGUCAAGUUUUCUAUAUUAUUUUGCAAAGUGUCGUAAACCAGCAAGUAUUCUGAAAUGGUGUUAGCACUAUUUAUGCAUUAACUACUCAAACAAACUGGGAAUAAUUAGGGAUCUCUCGGACCCACCGAGGGCACUAUAAAAGAAAGCAAGUGGGCACCUGUGCACAUUAGCACUAAUUUCACAGCCCUGGGCUAAAAAAAAAAAAA